CCUCACGUUCAGGGGUUGUUGUUGUGGCUCAAGCACUUUGACGGGUAGAUGGCACUCAGGUCAGUACCCCUAAAUGGGGAGGCUCUGGCCAGUCACUGCCUUGGCUCUGGGAGCCUGGACUAUAUUUGGAACUCUUAGGGGCCCUGGGUCAUUGUGAAGUCUCCAGCGAGGAUCCCAGCCAUGUUGCCCUCAGUAGCCCUCCCUCCUUGGACUGUGACAGUUUCUCCAUCUUCUUUUGUUUACAUGACCUUGAUCGCUUUGAGGAGUACAGGACCUGCGUUCUAGCUCCCUUGUCGCCCUGAGAAAAGACCAGUGAGUCCUGAUGGAUACCAGUAACAUUGACAGCCGCAAAGGAGUUAAUGUUUGUAUAUACGGCUUGUACUGUAGUCUUAUAGUGAACAAAACUCACUGUUACAUAGUUGCCUAUGUGAGUUCCACUUCCCCUGAUCCGUGGUCUGAAGCUCUACCACUUUUUUUCUCAUUCUCACCCAAGAGGGGCAGCUGAAAUGAAACCCACCGUCAUCAACCAGGAACUGAACUCUCAAAAGAAAUGAAGAAUCCAGGGGCAACGGCAGUCUCGCUAUUCAUUAAUGGGUUUAUUGAGAACUCUCUUGACAUUGAGCUGUAACUACAACAUUUAAGAAAAUCUCAAAUUUGAAAAUAAAUAAGUUGGCUGACAUACAGACAUUUUAC
rnacentral:lncRNA from 1 species